AUGUCUCCGCUGUGCACUGUGUGGCCUCCUGUGGACUCCUGUGUGUCUCAUGCACCCUGUGUGGGUUCCCUCCUGUGUAGUGUGUGUGUGUUCUGUGCACUGUGUGUUCUGUGCAGUUUUCCUGUGCACUGUGUGUUCUCCUGUUCACUGUGUGUGUUCUGUGCACUGUGUGUGUUCUCCUGUUCACUGUGUGUGUGCUCCCUGCAGUGUGUGUGUUCUGUGCACUGUGUGUGUUCUCCUGUUCACUGUGUGUGGCUCCCUCCCAGGCAGUGUGGUGGCCCUUGCACUGUGUGUGUUCUCCUGUGCACUCUGUGCAUGUUCUCCUGUGCACUGUGCGUGUUCUCCUGUGCACUGUGUGUUCUCCUGUGCACUGUGUGUGUGCAUGUUCCUCCUGUGCACCUGUGCUUGUUCUCUGUGCACUGGGCUGUGUUCCUCCUGCAGUGUGUUCUCCUGUGCACUGUGUGUGUCCUCCUGUGCAGUGUGUUCUGUGCACUGUGUGGCCUCCCGCACUGUGUGUUCCUCCUGCACUGUGUGUGUCUCCUCCGUGCAGUGUGUGUGUGUGUGUCCUCCCAGCACUGUGGUGGUGCCCCUCCUGUGCACUCUGUGCAUUGUUCCCUCCUGUGCACUGUGCUGCACCCUCCUGUGCACUGUGUGGUUCCUCCUGUGCACUGUGUGUGCAUUGUUCUCCCCUGUGCACUCCAGGCAGUUCUCUCAGCACGUGUGUUCCUCCUGUGCAGUGUGUGUGUUGCUCCUGUGCAGUGUGUGUGUUCUCCUGUGCAGUGUGUUCUGUGCACUGCGUGCUCUCCUGUGCACUGUGUGUGUGUUCUCCUGUGCACUGUGUGUGUUCUCCUGUGCAGUGUGUGUGUGUGUUCUCCAGCACCUCGUGUUCCCUCCUUGCAGCCUUCCUGUGCACUGUGUUCCCAGCAGCAGGUGUUGUUCCUCCUGUGCACUGUGUGUGGCAUGAGCCCCUCCUGUGCACUCUGCAAGAGCCCUCCUGUGCACUCUGUGCAUGUUCUCCUGUGCACUGUGUGUUCUCCUGUGCACUCUGUGUGUGUUCUCCUGUGCACUGUGUGUGCAUGUUCUCCUAUGCACUGUGUGCGCGUGUUCUCCUGUGCACUGUGUGUGCAUGUUCUCCUGUACACUCUGUGCGUGUUCUCCUGUGCACUGUGUUCUCCUGUGCACUCUGUACGUGUUCUCCUAUGCACUGUGUGUGCAUGUUCUGUGCACUGUGUGUGCAUGUUCUCCUGUGCACUGUGUGUGCAUGUUCUCCUGUGCACUCUGUAUGUGUUCUCCUGUGCACCAUGUAUGUGUUCUCCUGUGGCGAGGCCCACCUGGCUUUCACCAGAAUUUCAGUGA
rnacentral:lncRNA from 1 species